rnacentral:rRNA from 1 species
CCCUUAGAUGUCCUGGGCCGCACGCGCGCUACACUGACAUGUUCAACAAGCCUCCUAGUUCGACAGGAUUUGGGAAAUCUUUGAACGCAUGUCGUGAUAGGGAUAGAUCAUUGCAAUUAUUGAUCUUGAACGAGGAAUUCCUAGUAAACGCGAGUCAUCAGCUCGCAUUGAUUACGUCCCUGCCCUUUGUACACACCGCCCGUCGCACCUACCGAUUGAAUGUUUCGGUGAAGAUUCCGGAUAGGACUUUUUUGUUUUAUUUCAAUUUUGUCUUAAAAGCUAUCUAAACCUCAACAUUUAGAGGAAGGUGAAGUCGUAACA